GUACUGGGCGCCCCAGAGCAGCUCCUCCACGUUCUGCUCUGAGAUCACCACCUUGCCGCUGUAGAAGUAGUCCAGGAGCUGCUCCACCGUGGCCGCGCUCAGGUAGUUGGCGUCAAUGGUGAUGAAGAGCUCGGUGGUCGUCACGUCGUUGCCGGGCAUGAGAUUCUUCGCCAGCGCAGAGACGGCAGCCAGCACAUUGCAAUGUGCAAAGAAGACGUGGUGGUCCACGAUCCCCUUUUGUUGCCAGUUCAAUGGGUCCAGGUGGUUGAGUAUCAGAGUGUUCCAUCUCAUUUCCCUUCGGGUUGCUGAGAGAACCCCAGGCCCUGAGAAAGGAGGCAUCGUUAAGAGGAUUGCCAGUUCAAGCCCCUGUCCCCCAAAAAUGUAUAUAUAUGACCAUCACUCUGCUUUUUUUUAAACUACCUUUUUG
ensembl:lncRNA